rnacentral:rRNA from 1 species
CACGUAGGGGGCAAGCGUUAUCCGGAAUGAUUGGGCGUAAAGCGUCCGCAGGUGGCUGUGUAAGUCUGCUGUCAAAGAGCGAAGCUCAACUUCGUAAAGGCAGUGGAAACUACACGGCUAGAGUGCGUUCGGGGCAGAGGGAAGUUCCUGGUGUAGCGGUGAAAUGCGUAGAGAUCAGGAAGAACACCGGUGGCGAAGGCGCUCUGGCUAGGCCGCAACUGACACUGAGGGACGAA